GACGAACGCUGGCGGCGUGCUUAACACAUGCAAGUCGAACGAAGUGGCGAACGGGUGAGUAACGCGUAAGCAACCUGCCCUUCAGAGGGGGACAACAGUUGGAAACGACUGCUAAUACCGCACACUGAAGGAGGGGAUGGCGUGUGAUUAGCUAGUUGGGUGGGGAACGGCCAACCAAGGCGAGGAGCAGAAGCAGGUUGUAGAGGGUGAACGGCCACAUUGGGACUGAGACACGGCCCAGACUCCUACGGGAGGCAGCAGUGGGGAAUCUUCCGCAAUGGACGAAAGUCUGACGGAGCAACGCCGCGGGAGUGAUGACGGCCUUCGGGUUGUAAAGCUCUGUUAAUCGGGACGCGGUACCGGAAUAGAAAGCCACGGCUAACUACGUGCCAGCAGCCGCGGUAAUAC
rnacentral:rRNA from 1 species